UGUCUGGUAGCUCAGUUGGUAGAGCGGUGGACUGUAGAUCCAUAGGUCGCUGGUUCAAAUCCGGCCCGGAGGA
rnacentral:tRNA from 1 species